GACGAACGCUGGCGGCGUGCCUAAUACAUGCAAGUCGAACGCAGUGGGGACGGGUGAGUAACACGUGGGUAACCUCCCAUCAGAGGGGAUAACACGUGGAAACAGGUGCUAAACCGAUACUGAUGGAUGGACCUGAGGUGCAUUAGGCAGUUGGUGAGGUAACGGCUCACCAAGGCCACGAUGCAUAGCCGGCCUGAGAGGGUGAUCGGCCACACUGGGACUGAGACACGGCCCAGACUCCUACGGGAGGCAGCAGUGGGGAAUCUUCGGCAAUGGACGAAAGUCUGACCGAGCCACGCCGCGUGAGUGAAGAAGGUUUUCGGAUCGUAAAACUCUGUUGUUAGAGAAGCGGUAUCUAACCAGAAAGCCACGGCUAACUACGUGCCAGCAGCCGCGGUAAUUC
rnacentral:rRNA from 1 species